GGAGACAUCCUCAAGGAUAGUAAAUGCAAAUCAACAUCAUUGAUGUUGUUAGACACUUUAUAGAUAUUGAAAUCCAAAGCCUAUGAAUGUUCAACAUUCAAAAUCCCAGUACAUGUGCACAUAAAUUGAGGCACUGAGUCAUUGGAACACCCUAACUCUAUCAUCAUGGGAAAUGAGAUAAGAGUUCUAAAGGGUUAAUAUUUCACAUGCUAUAUUGGUUCCAAUGAAUCAAUCAUACAAAGACUACAAAUUGUCGACAUA
rnacentral:lncRNA from 1 species